UACGUAGGGGGCAAGCGUUGUCCGGAAUCACUGGGCGUAAAGAGCGCGCAGGCGGUCGUUCAAGUCGCGUGUGAAAGCCCCCGGCUCAACUGGGGAGGGUCACGCGAUACUGAUCGACUCGAAGGCAGGAGAGGGUAGUGGAAUUCCCGGUGUAGUGGUGAAAUGCGUAGAUAUCGGGAGGAACACCAGUGGCGAAGGCGACUACCUGGCCUGUUCUUGACGCUGAGGCGCGAAAGCUAGGGGAGCAAACGGG
rnacentral:rRNA from 1 species